rnacentral:rRNA from 1 species
GACGAACGCUGGCGGCGUGCCUAAUACAUGCAAGUCGAACGCAGUGGGGACGGGUGAGUAACACGUGGGUAACCUCCCAUCAGAGGGGAUAACACUUGGAAACAGGUGCUAAACCGCUACUGAUGGAUGGACCCGCGGUGCAUUAGCUAGUUGGUGAGGUAACGGCUCACCAAGGCCACGAUGCAUCGACGACCUGAGAGGGUGUGAGGACCAACUGGUACGGAUACACGGCCCAGACUCCGACGGGAGGCAGCAGUAGGAAAUCUUCGGCAAUGGACUAAAGUCUGACCGAGCAGCGCCGCGUUAGUGAAGAAGGUUUUCGGAUCGUAAAACUCUGUUGUUAGAGAAGCGGUAUCUAACCAGAAAGCCACGGCUAACUACGUGCCAGCAGCCGCGGUAAUAC